UGACCAGUAUAGGGUGACUGUUUACUAAAAACACACGUCUAUACAAAGUCGUAAAACCAUGUAUGGAACUGAAACUAAUACUAAGAAAGCAAGAAAGUUGGUGACCUGAUGACAAGGAAACCGGCAUCAAAUGUAAUUACCUGUCUUAAGGUAGCAAAAUUCCUUGUUAGAUAAGUUCUAACAUAUAGGAAGUACGUAAUAAUCUCAUA
rnacentral:rRNA from 1 species